rnacentral:ribozyme from 1 species
GCAGCAAACGAGGUCCAUCCGUCGGUCUCCCGCCUCCUUUGCGUUGAAGCUGUUUUAUACUUUGCUCGUGAAGAACUAAAGGCUCUG